AGAGUUUGAUUAUGGCUCAGGAUGAACGCUAGCGGCAGGCCUAACACAUGCAAGUCGCGGGGCAGCACGGGUAGCAAUACCUGGUGGCGACCGGCGCACGGGUGCGUAACGCGUAUGCAACCUGCCCCCAUCAGGGGAAUAGCCCGCCGAAAGGCGGAUUAAUGCCCCAUAGGCCCAGGGCGCCGCAUGGCGCUAUGGGUAAAGCUCCGGCGGAUGGGGAUGGGCAUGCGGGCCAUUAGCUAGUUGGGGCGGUAACGGCGCACCAAGGCGACGAUGGCUAGGGGGUCUGAGAGGAUGGUCCCCCACACUGGUACUGAGACACGGACCAGACUCCUACGGGAGGCAGCAGUGAGGAAUAUUGGUCAAUGGGCGGAAGCCUGAACCAGCCAUGCCGCGUGCAGGAUGACGGCCCUACGGGUUGUAAACUGCUUUUCCCCGGGAAGAAUAAGCCCCUCGUGAGGGGCGAUGCCGGUACCGGGGGAAUAAGGAUCGGCUAACUCCGUGCCAGCCGCAGC
rnacentral:rRNA from 1 species